UUGUACUUGGAAGCAUAUAUACUAAAAUUAGAAUAACAGAGAGCAUGGCUUUUGUUUGAGGAUGACACACAAAUUUGUGAAGAAUUCCAUAUAUAU
rfam:Mesocricetus auratus contig131621, whole genome shotgun sequence.